GGGCUUUUUAUUGGAUAGUGGUUAGCUUGAACCUAACUUUAAGGUGUUCGACUCACCUAAAGCCCU
rnacentral:tRNA from 2 species